AAAAACUUAAAACCUGGUCCCAAAAACCAAUAUUUCAUAGGGAGCUAUAGGUGCGAACCUAUUAAAAAUGAAAUAGCUCCAAAAAGUUCCCUCUUACUCUAAAAUCCCUAAAUCCCUGAGCGGCAACUUUCAUCAAUCGGAAUCCUAAAAUUCAUCUCUCUCAACCCCUCUUGUCUACCAUUGGAAUUAUCAGGCUUAGUAAUCAAGAGUAAGUUAAUUUCUUUCUCUUCUUUUAUCUGAUUCAUGCCCUUCUUCUUCAUCUUUUUUUUUUUUGCGAUGGAAACCAAAAACAAUUAUGUUUCUAUUGGUCUUCUGCAAUUAGGUUUCUUAUAGUACUGAUUGUUGUUGCGUGAGGGCUAAAAGUGAGAGUAUUGGGUUUAAAGCUAGGGCUCGGGGGUUAAGGAGGAGAAACUUGAGCAUUUAUUGUAGGAUUUCGUCUACGCGAUUUGCUAUCGAUGUUUGCGUUUAGGAUCUUUAACAGGGAGAAAGAAGAAUGUUGAAUGCAGAUUAAAAGUUGUGUUUCCCUUCUUUUAUUUUGGGAUUCUUCCCAAGUUUUAUACUAUAACAUGAAUCAUUUGAGAAAUGACUUUGUGGGUUGCUUCUAUGAGUGCGUAGUUUUACUUCUAUUAAGUUAUAUGUCUAAGCUGGUUUGUGAUGUUUUCUUCUGUUUUUAGCCCAACUCUUACUUUGAUUUUGUAGUUUUCUUAUGUGGGUAUAUUUUAUUCUUCUAUUUUAGUGAAGUUAUAAAAUGUGUCUUUGUGUAAGUCUGUUGCGUUUGGCCAAAACAUUACUUCAGCUUUGAGCAUUAUAUUAUAGACUCGGUUUUGAUUGAAAAUUUUAGUUUUGAUGGAGUGCAAAUUUUGCUUUGUCACUGCAUAAAUAAAGCCUAUUAUUUGUUUUUUGUAUAUGCUGAAGAAAAUUACUAUUCCCGUGUUCUUGUGCAUGCCAGUAGGUUGUUUUAGUUCUCCUUAGUCAUUACAGUUUUUUUUUAAACUGUGGAAUAGUUAGUGUAUCAUAUUUUUAUCUAAGAAAACUAAGAUAGUAAAUCAGUGACUUAGCUUUAAACUGAUUUGUGUGUAUUAAUUUCUCAUAUUCUUGAGCAAUUGUGAGUUAUACGUUAUGCAUAUCAGUCUAUAGUUUAUUUCAUUCUUGUGAUAUCGUAGUAAGUUUUAAUAAGAUGGAUGAGUUAUCAAGUUUAAUAAAAAUAAAUAUGCAUCUUAGAAGAGUGAUUUUGUUUCAAUGUAAUUGGUUUGAUGUGUAUGAUAAAACUAAAGGAAUUAAAGAAGAUGAAUAUGGCAUUGUAUUUGUGGAGGUGGGAUCUAUCCUCCGGAGUGGUAUUUGUGCUAGUCAAAGUAUGCCACCACUUUCAAACAUUAGGAAAAUAGAUUCUACCAUGUCUGUUCAAGGAAUGCGAGCUGAUAUUCCAAGUUUUCCAUCUACUGAUGAAGUUAUGCAGUACACCCAAACAUUUGAAAUAGGUAUGAUUCUCAAAUUUAUCAUGUUAUUAAUUUGUACAACUAAAUUGUCCUUUAAGUUUCCAUAACCUGGUACACAAAUUGUCCUCUAAGUUUUCAUAACCAGUGCACUUUUGUCUUGGAUUAAUAUUUCCUUGUAGAACUAACAAAGUACUCAAGUGAUCCAUACCAUUGUAGUUUUCUGGUGCAGUUCCUCACCUGAUAUUAUACUCUAAUAUAUCUUGCUGGUAGAGUUUCAUUUGGGAUACAAUGUAAGUUCUUGAAAGAUGGACAUUUAUAUAUAUUGCAUGUAUAGGUCAGUUUUGGUACAUGUAAAGGAUAUUGCUGAUGCAGUUUAGGUGAGAAUGCAGUGUUUGUUUUUAAUAGCUGUUCAUUUUUGUCGAGUCUGAAAUACUAUUAAGCUUUGGUCCAUCUUUAGGUACCCAAAUUACUGUUUUUUUUUGUGCAUAUUCUGCUGGAGUGAUGAUUCUAUUUUGAUCUAUGAAUUGGUGCAGUUUUACUCUAUAAAACGGUGCAAUUUUUCUGAUGCUUGGUUCUGCAAGUUCGUGCAUUUUGUUUUUUUGGGAUGACUCUAACAGGAUGGAAUUGUUUUCUAGACACAGAUCUCUAAUACUUGGAUAGAAUAUUUCUGUACAGAGGAUUAUAAGCAGAUGUGGUCUUGAAGUGAUGUAAAAUUUUGUUACUAGAUUUUACAUGGAACUAGAUAAAUUUGAGAGCGAUGACAUGAAUAUUCAGCGCGAUCAUAUUUUGGGAUGGAUGAAAGAAUUAUGGAACAAAUGGAGAGGAAAAUUACACGAAAAGUACGUGAAGGGCUAAGUGAGAUUAUUUAUCAAAUAGAGCUAAGUUAAAGAUGCUUCAUCAUAGUGGUAGCAAGGCCAUUAGAGAGAUUAAUUAUCAAAAGGCUCAAAUUCAAGAAUUGGUGCAGUCCGAACCAUCUCUUCCUAGCAUAGAGGUUGUAGAAAAAUGCUUUGGACCUCAAACUCGUAGCCAUGUAUUUGGCUUUGGAGGUGGAGUAAAGGUGAAAGAUUUAGUAAAGGCGAAAGAUUUCAAAGGUUGGACAUCUUCAAAGGAUGAGUUGUUGUCUGAGCUACGUUCAACUCAAGCAGAAAAUCAAUCUUUGAAAGAUCGUUUGUCUAACUUUGAAACUGAGAUGAAAGAAAUGAAGCAAUUAAAAGAGUUGUUAUUAGCUCAACACCGUAAUUUCCAACCUCCGACAUCAUCUAUUUUAGGAGAAUGACUGUUCCUUUGAUGAUACCAAGUUAUGGAAACUGAUGUUUACGAUAAGCAGAUCUUUCAGGACGUACAGAUUGACUAUCAUUUUGCUAUGGAUAUUAACUAUAUAGGUUUUAUGCUCAGGGUUAUGUACGAGAUACUAUGAUGACUAGCAUACAUCAUUGAUAUACAUAUUAUAUCAUUUUGUUACCAGAUAUUUCUAGUUGGAAAUUGUUUGAUUUUCGGACCAGUAAAAUGUUUCUUUGGGGACGAGACAAGUAGUCCUUGAAUAUUUUUUAGGUGCAGAAAAUCUGGUUGCUAAACCCAUUAUCCUUGUGCUAUUGACAUCAAUUCACGGCCAAAAAUCUAGUCCCUAAAGUAAAUUAUGGACCAGCCUGCAAGUCUGAACAUCCUCACUUUGGCACCAAAAAUAUGAUCCAUAAAAGUGUUUUAAGAACCAGUAUUAACCCAAAAACUAUAUAGGACCAGCCACUCAUUCCCGUCGCUAAUGACCUUUAGAGGCCGAGCAUAUAAGGACGAGCUGGCAACCAGAAUUUCUGGUCCCCAUUCACUUUUAGGGAUCAUAAUUCUACUUUUAGGGACCAGUUUUCCCUUCGCUAGUAAGCAGUUUUCUUGUAGUGGUAGUUGUUGUGUUAUUGGAAGGAAAGGUUGAUAAAUAUACUCUUCGUGUUGAUUGAGAUAGCUUGUAUGAUUCAUGCUAUUGUGGAGUUGAUUUAUCUGAGUCUUGUUAUGACUUUUGGCAUUGUGACUUGUACUUCCUUGGCAUUGAUAUUAUUUAUUGAUCAUGCUUACAUUGGAAUGGUACUUCAUAUUGGGUUCUAGAAUUGAACCAGAUCUUGAGACUCAGCUUGGGUACGGACAUAUAUAUAUAUAUCUUGAGAGUGGGGGUGAGGGAUGUGGCCUAGUUAUGGGCUCGUGAUCCGAGGUCAGUUCCGGAGCGAGUGGUACAUGGACGCCAUGGGUCCUCAGCGGGUCAUGACUAUCUUGCGAACAAGGCCUUUAGCAUGUGUUUACGGUUGAGAUACUUAUCAUUGGUUGUAUUGCAUUGGACAUCAUCUUAUUCCUGUGAUUCGUUUUUUAUUGGUUGUUGUUGUUGUUGUGUUGUUGUGCCUGUCUAUCUAUCUUGCUGGUUUUACGAAAGUAUGCAUGAUACUAAUAUUAGUCGGCCUAUGCUAUCUAUCGGUAGAUAGUGUUUGUACUGAUACUACCUUACUGCACUCUUUUUGAGUGCAGAUUGCAUUCCGGAGUUGUCUUUUAGACCUCGUAUCUAGCCUGAGGCUACUUCCUGACCAGAUCUGAGGAUGGUGACGACUCAGGCUGGGGAAGCCAUUGAUGAGGCACCUGAGCUUGCCGCCGGAGGUGCAGCUCGUAGUAGAGGCCAGGUCUGAGGUCGUGGAUGCGUUAGAGGCCAAAGAGCAACACCAGCCAGGGACGGGACUCCUGCGGCUGGUCAGGCUUGUGCUUGAUCAAUUUCCCCCACGCCUCUGAUAGUUCCGGAUGAAGGAGCAGAGUUGAGGCGGCACCAGCUCAGCCAGAUAUUAUAGCUACUCAGUGUUAUCAGAUGUCAUGGUUCAUGUGUUGAACAUGCUGAAUGGAUUAACUGAGGCAGUUGUAUUACCGACUACUCCAGAUGGCCAGGGUGUGAGAUUAGCUGACCAGAUUCCUGACAGAUUCUGUGCUCCAGGAGCGCAGCACGCUGCAGCUGUGGCUCUACGUUUAGAUGAGACUCCCGGACCAGAGAUUAUCCCUAGACCUGUGGCAGGCUCGGUAAUGACCGGUGAAGAGCAUGAUCUAUUUUGGAGGUUCACCAAGAUGAAGCCUCCUGUCUUUUAUGGAACAGAGUCCGAGGAUGCUUAUGAGUUUAGUAUUGAUUGUCAUGGGAGGCUUCACAAAUUGGGGGCGAUUGAGAGCCAUGGUGUAGAGUUUGUGACCUUCUAGCUCUUGGGUGAUGCCAAAUUAUGGUUGAGAGCUUAUGGGGAUUGUAGACCAGCUGGGUUUCCUUCGUUGACUUAGACUCAGUUUUAUUUUGUCUUUUUGGAGAAGUACGUUCUGUGUACAUUUUUAGGGAUAGGAGGUGUGACGACUUCAGUCACAUCGAGUAGGGGAGUUCUUCAGUUGCUGCUAAUGAGGCCCAUUUUCACUCCUUGUCCUGUUAUGCUCUACAGUUGUUGCCUGCUAGGGAUGAGAUAGUUCGUAGGUUUGUGAAAGGGUUGAAUACUGCUUUAUAGUUGUCAGCUCUUCAGCUUGUAGCUAUAGGAGCUUCUUUCCAGGAUGUGGUGGAUUAUGUCACCAUAGUUGAGGGUGUGAGACAGGACAGCCAUGGCAAGUAUGCCAAUAAGAAGGCCCGCAAGGGUGAUAGGUUCAGUGGUACGUUCUUCCGAGGGCAUGGCCACUAUGGACAGAGUUCCUAGGUUUAUUCAGAUCAUCCUAUCCAGUCGACUAUGCAGAUUUCUGUUGAAGGGCCAUCAGGAGCCAGUUAUUACUCUAUGAGUCAACCAGGGGGUUGACAUUCCAGAUUUUCUGACCAUGGUGGUUAUUCUACUUCUGUUCAGCGACCUAUGCUAGACUGUGGAUGAUUCGAGUAUGGCAAGCAGGGGCAUUUCAAGAGGAAUAGUUUCCGACUCAGAUAGAAUGGCUAGAGUGCUCAGUACCAGGCUCCCAAGGCUCCAGUUUCACCAGCUAAAGGAGGAGGAUCUGAUGGUAGGGACCGUGCUAAGACUGGGUUUAGUAGCCACACAUCUAGUGGAGGUUGCACCCAGCCUAGUAGAGGCGGAUCUCAUUCAGACAGAGGUGAACAUCAGCCCGGUAAGAGCAGGCUCAGUUAGGUCAUGCUGAUCGUGGAGGUUCGCAGGCUAGUGGCGGACGGGUUCAUUGGUAUACCUUUCCUAGCAGAUCAGAGGUUGAGGGUUCCGAUGCAGUCAUUACAGGUACAGACGACAGAUUUGCUGACCCGCCUGCCUAGGACAUCUAUUCUGCUAUUUUGGGAGUGCUCUUUUGUCCAGAGCCUAUAUGUUGGUACAGUCUGCUGCUAUUGUAUAUAUGUAUGCUGUUCAGGGCUAUGACGGGGCCCUGUCCCGUCUUAUGAUUCUGUUAUAAUCUGUAGAGGUCUGUAGACAUACUUGUGUGGGUUUUGUAUAUGUUUUGGGAUGAUAUGAUCUGUGACAGCCUUAUCGGCUCCGAUGUACUAUGUCGGUUCAUUUAUGAUGAUUACUAACGCCAAUUGA